GAUGAACGCUAGCGGGAGGCUUAACACAUGCAAGUCGAGCGGGAUUGGUAGCAAUACCAUGAGAGCGGCGCACGGGUGCGUAACGCGUAUGCAACCUGCCUUAUACAGGGGGAUAGCCCAUGGAAAAGUGGAUUAAUAUCCCAUAGGAUUAUGGAAUCGCAAGAUUUUAUGAUUAAAACUACGGUGGUAUAAGAUGGGCAUGCGUCUGAUUAGGUAGUUGGGAGGGUAACGGCCUACCAAGCCGACGAUCAGUAGGGGUUCUGAGAGGAUUACCCCCACACUGGUACUGAGACACGGACCAGACUCCUACGGGAGGCAGCAGUGAGGAAUAUUGGUCAAUGGGCGAGAGCCUGAACCAGCCAUCCCGCGUGCAGGAUGACGGCCCUAUGGGUUGUAAACUGCUUUUCUGCUCCAAGAAACCUGAUUACGUGUAAUCAGUUGACGGUAGAGUAGGAAUAAGCAUCGGCUAACUCCGUGCCAGCCGCCGCAGUAACAC
rnacentral:rRNA from 1 species